GCGAGUGUAAAUCUCAACUGGUAGAGUGGCACGCGCUUCGGCGCCUGCGUGUUGCGGGUUCGAGUCCCGUCACUCGCC
rnacentral:tRNA from 1 species